UACGAAGGGGGCAAGCGUUGUUCGGAAUUACUGGGCGUAAAGGGCGCGUAGGCGGCCGAUCAAGUCAGGCGUGAAAUUCCCGGGCUCAACCUGGGGGCUGCGCUUGAUACUGAUUGGCUUGAAUGCGGGAGAGGAUAGUGGAAUUCCCAGUGUAGGGGUGAAAUUCGUAGAUAUUGGGAAGAACACCGGUGGCGAAGGCGGCUAUCUGGCCCGUAAUUGACGCUGAGGCGCGAAAGCGUGGGGAGCAAACAGG
rnacentral:rRNA from 1 species